CUAGUUUGUUCUUCUGAUGCAGGAGCCAUUCACAGAGGAGAUUUCAGCAGAGCUCCGGGGCAGAGGAGAUCUAUUCCGCUCUAUCCAGGAGCUGUUUUUCUGGAGGAUCCAACUCUGGCCACCUUGCCAGAGCUCUGAUUCCUUUGAGGAGGUGACUGUGGACUUCACAGAUGAGGCUGCUAGAUUCCAGCCAGAAGGCCUUGUGCAGAGAAGUCGUGCAGGAGUUUUCUAGGAAUAAGGCUGCUCUGGGUAAGGCCAGGCUGUUCAAUUCUCUAUAAGGCCAUAGUAGAAAUAUUCACCAUAGAAUUGAGAAAUGUCCUAAAUACACCAUGGAAGUGACUGAAUAGAUUGACUGAUCAACACCAAAGCUUUAACCUGCUUUUUCGCUGAAAUCAUUCUUUCUUUCAGAAGACUACUAGAUAAAAAAUAGAAGAUAUCACAUGGAUUGAACUAAAUCUGGAAUGCAGAUUGGCAUAUUUUUGCGGGCGGGGGAGCUUCUAAAGUCUAAAUCAAUGUUAAUUUUAUUUUUUUCCUUGCAGAUGAUGUGACUGUGAAUGAGAACGAUGAGUCAAGAUUAGAUCUACUCGAAAUAGAGAAGAAUGAAGUAAAAGUAAUUCUUGGCCAUCAGAGGGGCACCAAAAGGCUAAAGAGAAAACAGCCAGAAAAUAGAGGGGAGAAGUCAUCCACUUCUCUUGAUAUUCAUGGCUUCCUAUCCCAGCAAGAUCAAAAAGAAAUGAGAAAAGGAAAAUAUAGAAAAAAA